UGCGAUCAUACCAGCACUAAUGCACCGGAUCCCAUCAGAACUUCGCAGUUAAGCGUGCUUGGGCGAGAGUAGUAUUCGGAUGGGUGACCUCCGGGGAAGUCCUCGUGUUGCACCCC
rnacentral:rRNA from 1 species